GAUGAACGCUGGCGGCGUGCCUAAUACAUGCAAGUCGAGCGAACGGACGAGGAGCUUGCUCCUCUGACGUUAGCGGCGGACGGGUGAGUAACACGUGGAUAACCUACCUAUAAGACUGGGAUAACUUCGGGAAACCGGAGCUAAUACCGGAUAAUAUAUUGAACCGCAUGGUUCAAUAGUGAAAGACGGUUUUGCUGUCACUUAUAGAUGGAUCCGCGCCGCAUUAGCUAGUUGGUAAGGUAACGGCUUACCAAGGCAACGAUGCGUAGCCGACCUGAGAGGGUGAUCGGCCACACUGGAACUGAGACACGGUCCAGACUCCUACGGGAGGCAGCAGUAGGGAAUCUUCCGCAAUGGGCGAAAGCCUGACGGAGCAACGCCGCGUGAGUGAUGAAGGUCUUCGGAUCGUAAAACCCUGUUAUUAGGGAAGAACAAAUGUGUAAGUAACUAUGCACGUCUUGACGGUACCUAAUCAGAAAGCCACGGCUAACUACGUG
rnacentral:rRNA from 1 species